GAUGAACGCUGGCGGUCUGCUUAACACAUGCAAGUCGAACGCAACCUUCGGGUUGAGUGGCGGACGGGUGAGUAACGCGUGAGAAUCUGCCUUGGGGUCGGGGACAACCACUGGAAACGGUGGCUAAUACCGGAUAAGCCUUUGGGUAAAAGAUUUAUUGCCCCAAGAGGAGCUCGCGUCUGAUUAGCUAGUUGGUGAGGUAAAAGCUCACCAAGGCAGCGAUCAGUAGCUGGUCUGAGAGGACGAUCAGCCACACUGGGACUGAGACACGGCCCAGACUCCUACGGGAGGCAGCAGUGGGGAAUUUUCCGCAAUGGGCGAAAGCCUGACGGAGCAAGACCGCGUGAGGGAGGAAGGCUCUUGGGUUGUAAACCUCUUUUCUCAGGGAAGAAGCUCUGACGGUACCUGAGGAAUCAGCCUCGGCUAACUCCGUGCCAGCAGCCGCGGUAAUACGGAGGAGGCAAGCGUUAUCCGGAAUUAUUGGGCGUAAAGCGUCCGCAGGUGGCGAUUCAAGUCUGCUGUCAAAGCACGGGGCUUAACUCCGUUAAGGCAGUGGAAACUGAAUAGCUAGAGUGCCGUAGGGGUAGAGGGAAUUCCCGGUGUAGCGGUGAAAUGCGUAGAGAUCGGGAAGAACAUCGGUGGCGAAAGCGCUCUACUGGACGGCAACUGACACUCAGGGACGAAAGCUAGGGGAGCGAAUGGGAUUAGAUACCCCAGUAGUCCUAGCUGUAAACGAUGGAUACUAGGUGUAGCUUGU
rnacentral:rRNA from 1 species